AUGCUUCAGCAGCACAUUUACCCAAAUUACAACAAUAUAGAGAUUAUCAUGGCAGUUGCACAAGGAUGAUAUGAAAAUUUGUGAAGUAUUCCAUGUUGUU
ensembl:snRNA U6 U6 spliceosomal RNA